CUCAAAAAUCCGUGGUGCUCCAUAUAACUAAAAAAUAAAGAAAAUAGCCUUACAAUUUGCAUUUGAGAUCUUGCAUAAGAUACGUGAUUGCACAAAUAGUUCAACCAUUAUAUGCAUCACAUUCAGACAAAUGAAGAUUUCAGUCCUAAGCCAAUGCUAUUAAAAGCGCAUAAGGACAUGGAAAGAAGAAGGAAACAAUUUCACAAUAAAAUAAUAGCAUAAAGAUUUCAAUUCCCAAGCGAGGAUAUUCUUGGAUUCUACUUCCAUUAUUACACCAAAUCUGCGAAUCAUAAAGUAGGACAUUUAUGCCAGCACACAAAAGCAUUCCAGCCUUAUCACUGGUAUGAAAAGAUCCACAAACAAGUAAACCUUAAACAAGCAUCAACACUUUUCAA
rnacentral:misc_RNA from 1 species